rnacentral:rRNA from 1 species
GGUGUUGCAAACCAACCUAGAGGAGCCUGUCUAAUAAUCGAUAACCCACGCUUUACCUCACCCGCCUUAGCACCGAAUCAGCCUAUAUACCGCCGUCGCAAGCCUACCCCACUGAAGGAGUCACCGUAGACACCAGAGCCUCAUCGCUAACACGUCAGGUCAAGGUGUAGCUCAUAGGCGGUGGAAAGGAUGGGCUACACUCCCUGCCCAAGGGACCAUACCCCCUAUGCAAACGGACAAAACGUCGGAUUUAGUAGUAAGCCUGACAAGUAAGCCAGACUGAAACCUGCACUGCAACAUGUACACACCGCCCGUCACCCCCCUCACAAACACAUCCUACUUAAAUAAAACAACCAUCCUAUCAAGAUGGGGUAAGUCGUAACAAGGUAAGUGUACUGGAAAGUGCACUUGG